AAAUUGAAGAGUUUGAUCAUGGCUCAGAUUGAACGCUGGCGGUAGGCCUAACACAUGCAAGUCGAACGGUAACAGGAAGAAGCUUGCUUC
rnacentral:rRNA from 1 species